UACGGGGGGGGCGAGCGUUGUUCGGAAUUAUUGGGCGUAAAGGGCGCGUAGGCGGUGUGGCAAGUCAGGUGUGAAACCUCCAGGCUCAACUUGGAGCUUGCACCUGAAACUGCCGUGCUAGAGUGUGGGAGAGGGAUGCGGAAUUCCAGGUGUAGCGGUGAAAUGCGUAGAUAUCUGGAGGAACACCGGUGGCGAAGGCGGCAUCCUGGACCAACACUGACGCUGAGGAGCGAAAGCCAGGGGAGCAAACGGG
rnacentral:rRNA from 1 species